UACGUAGGGUGUGAGCGUUAAUCGGAAUUACUGGGCGUAAAGCGUGCGCAGGCGGUUUUGUAAGCCAGAUGUGAAAUCCCCGGGCUUAACCUGGGAAUGGCAUUUGGGACUGCAAGGCUCGAGUGCGGCAGAGGAGACUGGAAUUCCUGGUGUAGCAGUGAAAUGCGUAGAUAUCUGGAGGAACACCGGUGGCGAAGGCGGCAUCCUGGACCGACAUUGACGCUGAUGAGCGAAAGCUAGGGGAGCAAACGGG
rnacentral:rRNA from 1 species